AACGAACGCUGGCGGCAUGCCUAACACAUGCAAGUCGAACGAGACCUUCGGGUCUAGUGGCGAACGGGUGCGUAACGCGUGGGAACCUGCCCUUAGGUUCGGAAUAACUCCCCGAAAGGGGUGCUAAUACCGGAUAAUGUCUUCGGACCAAAGAUUUAUCGCCUUUGGAUGGGCCCGCGUUGGAUUAGCUAGUUGGUAGGGUAAAAGCCUACCAAGGCGACGAUCCAUAGCUGGUCUGAGAGGAUGAUCAGCCACACUGGGACUGAGACACGACCCAGACUCCUACGGGAGGCAGCAGUUGGGAAUAUUGGACAAUGGGCGAAAGCCUGAUCCAGCAAUGCCGCGUGAGUGAUGAAGGCCUUAGGGUUGUAAAGCUCUUUUACCCGGGAUGAUAAUGACAGUACCGGGAGAAUAAGCUCCGGCUAACUCCGUG
rnacentral:rRNA from 1 species